AACUCGCUGUGAAGAUGCAGUGUACCCGCGGCAAGACGGAAAGACCCCGUGAACCUUUACUAUAGCUUGACACUGAACAUUGAGCCUUGAUGUGUAGGAUAGGUGGGAGGCUUUGAAGCGUGGACGCCAGUCUGCGUGGAGCCAACCUUGAAAUACCACCCUUUAAUGUUUGAUGUUCUAACGUAGGCCCCUGACCGGGGUUGCGGACAGUGUCUGGUGGGUAGUUUGACUGGGGCGGUCUCCUCCCAAAGCGUAACGGAGGAGUUCGAAGGUUACCUAGGUCCGGUCGGAAAUCGGACUGAUAGUGCAAUGGCAAAAGGUAGCUUAACUGCGAGACCGACAAGUCGGGCAGGUGCGAAAGCAGGACAUAGUGAUCCGGUGGUUCUGUAUGGAAGGGCCAUCGCUCAACGGAUAAAAGGUACUCCGGGGAUAACAGGCUGAUUCCGCCCAAGAGUUCAUAUCGACGGCGGAG
rnacentral:rRNA from 1 species